UAAAGCACUUUCAGUCGUGAGGWAAGUAGAGUUAAUAACGUGCUWGCAUGUGACGUUAACGACAGAAGAAGCACCGGCUAACUCCGUGCCAGCAGCCGCGGUAAUACGGAGGGUCCGAGCGUUAAUCGGAAUUACUGGGCGUAAAGCGCRCGUAGGUGGAYUGKUCAGUYAGAUGUGAAAGCCCAGGGCUCAACCUUGGAACUCAYYURAUACUGSCAGWCUAGAAUMCGGUAGAGGGUAGUGGAAUUUCCUGUGUAGCGGUGAAAUGCGUAGAUAUAGGAAGGAACACCAGUGGCGAAGGCGACUMCCUGKCCCGAUAYUKACACUKAKGUGCGAAAGYGUGGGUAGCAAACAGGAUUAGAUACCCUGGUAGUCCACRCCGUAAACGAUGUCUACUAGCUCGUUGUAGACUUGAUCCCUUAGUGCGAACUAACGCGAUAAGUAGACCGC
rnacentral:rRNA from 1 species